rnacentral:rRNA from 1 species
CAAGAGCGUAUGUAAAAGUUGUUGCAGUUAAAAAGCUCGUAGUUGAACCUUGGGUUUGGUUGGCCGGUCCGCUUUUUUGCGAGUACUGGAUUCAACCGAGCCUUUCCUUCUGGCUAACCAGUCGUUUCGGCGGCUGGCGAACCAGGAUUUUUACUUUGAGAAAAUUAGAGUGUUCAAAGCAGGCAUUAGCUUGAAUAUAUUAGCAUGGAAUAAUAGAAUAGGACGUUAUGGUUCUAUUUUGUUGGUUUCUAGGACCAUCGUAAUGAUUAAUAGGGACGGUCGGGGGCAUCAGUAUUCAGUUGUCAGAGGUGAAAUUCUUGGAUUUACUGAAGACUAACUACUGCGAAGGCAUUUGCCAAGGACGUUUUCAUUAA